GAAAAGAAAAGUGAGCACAACUGAUCAAUGCAUUUGGGCAAACGUGUGCAAUGUGUAACACCUGAGGACCUCUCACUUCCUGAAUGGGGGUGUUGUCAGUGCCAGAGGAGAGAACUGGGCAUUCAGAAGACGUUAGGAAGGGGAAAUGCACAGAUCUUGGCAACAGAUUGGAUAUGACGAGGUGAGAGAGUGUCAGACAUCUGGGAUGACCCCUAGCUUGCAAGCCUGGGUGAUCUGGGUGAUGUUGACAAUACUGGGCUGCCCUUAACAGUUAUAGGUUAAGUAGGAAGGAGGUACGUUUUUUUUUGGGGGGGGAAGGUAAGACAAUGAGUUCAGUGUUGGACUUGCUGAAUUCAAGAUAUCUACAGAAUAUCUGGUUGAAGAUGUCCAGUAGACAGUUGGAGAUGUGAGGCUGGCUGUAUGCAGAGAGGUUAGGACCGGAUAAUUGGAUUGUUGAAUCAUCAAGCUAGCCAAACUCCAACCCUUUUGUGGUGAAAGUCCUAUGCCUGCUCCUAGUAUGUGGUAAUAACAUAAAGUAGGAACUCCUUUUCUUCCAUGGCAGUUUUCCAGGUUUCACCUACUCCUCCUCAUAGCCAUUUACCUUCAUUGUUGUUAUUCAGUCAUUCAAUCUUGUCUGACUCUUUUUGACCCCUUCGACCACAACAUGCUAGGCCCUUCUUUCUUCCACUAUCUCCUGAAGUCUGUCCUAGUUCAUGUUCGUUGUUCGUGUGACACUACUUAUCCAUAUUAUCCCUCUACCAUUUCCUUUUGCCUUCUAUCUUUCCCAUUAUUAGGAUCUUUUCCAAUGCAUCCCAUUUUCUCAUGAUGUGACCACAGUCUUUAAGCUUCAGCAUUUGACCUUCCAGUGAAUGGACUGAAUUAAUUUCUUUUUUGGUUAGAUUUAUCUAGUUCUGAGAACAAAAUGUUGAGGUUCCCCACCACAAAAAAAC